rnacentral:rRNA from 1 species
UACGUAGGGGGCUAGCGUUGUCCGGAUUUAUUGGGCGUAAAGAGCGUGUAGGCGGCCAGGUAGGUCUGCUGUGAAAACUCGAGGCUUAACCUCGAGACGUCGGCGGAAACCAUCUGGCUAGAGUCCGGAAGAGGAGAGUGGAAUUCCUGGUGUAGCGGUGAAAUGCGUAGAUAUCAAGAGGAACACCUGAGGUGAAGACGGGUUGCUGGGCCAACACUGACGCUGAGGCGCGAAAGCCAGGGGAGCAAACGGG